GCCAGUUCUUUCCCAAGUGUGGGAGGUACCAAAUAACAAUAGUUAAACAACAGUAACAGCUGGGACGCGGCGGCCGGAAACGUAUUCUCAAAGCGUAAUUGCAUGGUUCUACUGCUUCCUGGGACUUGGGAUCCAUAACUUAUUUGACAAGCAAGAAAAUGUGGUGAAUCACAGAAGAAGUUGGAGAGCCUUCAGAAUCAUAGUCCUGCAGACCCACUCCAGACUUCUGAUCUCCAGACCCGUGAGAUAAUAAAUUUGUGUUCUUCUAAGCACCAAAUUUAUUGUAACUUGUCGCAUAUGAAACUAUUAUGGAGAGAAAC